CCAAUAGCGUAUAUUAAAGUUGUUGCAGUUAAAAAGCUCGUAGUUGAAUUUCGGAAUCUGUCCGUUGGUCGGGCUUCAUUGUCCGUACUGGUGUGAUGGGUUCUUACCUUCUGAAUAACCAGCAUGCCAUUCAUUUGGUGCGUUGGGGAAGCAGGACUAUUACCUUGAAAAAAUUAGAGUGCUCAAAGCAGGCUAGUGCCUGAAUACAUUAGCAUGGAAUAAUAAAAUAGGACGGCAUGGUUCUAUUUUGUUGGUUUCUAGGAUCACCGUAAUGAUUAAUAGGGAUAGUUGGGGGCAUUAGUAUUCAAUUGUCAGAGGUGAAAUUCUUGGAUUUAUUGAAGACUAACUUCUGCGAAAGCAUUUGCCAAGGAUGUUUUCAUUAAUCAAGAACGAAAGUUAGGGGAUCGAAGACGAUCAGAUACCGUCGUAGUCUUAACCAUAAACUAUGCCGACUAGGGAUCGGACGAUGUUAAUUUUUUAAUGACUCGUUCGGCGCCUUACG
rnacentral:rRNA from 1 species